UGAAUGUCUGUUAACUCCAUCUGUAUGUGGUCCAAACUCCACCUGCAUCAACACAGUAGGAGGAUACAAUUGCUUUUGCUGGAAUGGAUUUACUGCUACAAACUCAAGUCUAAGGGUUAACAUUAGUAACCCUUGUAGGGAUGUUGAUGAAUGUCUAUCUACACUAUCUGCAUGUGGAUCAAAUUCCAACUGCGCUAAUACAGCAGGAGGAUACAGUUGCUCUUGCUGGACUGGAUUUACUGCAACCAGCUCAAACUUAACUACCAGCAUUAUUAACCCAUGUAUAGAUAUAGAUGAAUGUGCGCUUGAACCAGCUAUUUGUGGUCCACACUCCAUCUGCACCAACACUAUAGGAGGAUACAACUGCUCUUGCACGGGAGGAUUUACUGAAACAAACUCAAGUCUGAUGAUUAGCGUUAAUAACACUU